UUUUCCUCUCCCAAUCCAAACAAGAGUCUAGGAGCUUUGCUUUCUCAAAUCUCAAUAAAUUGGUCCAACUUGGGUUUUAUGCUGCUUAGACAAAUGUGAAUUGAAACUCCCUUGUGCCACAGGCCAAAGGUUUUCAACAGCCUUGUCUCAUUGUCAUUCCAAUACAUGUUAAUGAGAUUCCACCACAUUUCAGUCACAAGGAGGGUAUACCGCAAUUAAAUUGCUGGAGUUGGCGUUAUUUAACAUAGGACACAAUCUUCCGGUACACAAGGCUUGCUAUAAACAGAAAAUAGGACACAAUCUUCCGGUACACAAGGCUUGCUAUAAACAGAAAACUGAUCCUCACACCUAGUGAUAUUCCCUAUAUGAGUAGCUCACAAAAGACAAUUCAUCUGCUCGAACAAAAAUUUCAACCCUGACCUGCAGCAUAGGCCAUGUCUAACCCUCCUCUCCACAUCGCAACUGAGGGCAAAAAUAUCCAGACCAUGCAAGCCCUUUUAACAGCCCAGGCCAGUUAGACUUGUAAUUGCUUUGCUCCUUCUAUGUCAAAUCAGGUCGGUUGCUACAAUGGCAAAGCAGGAGAUCUAUUGGAGAGAGUUCUGUAUAUAGCUCUGAUAGUGUUAGGAGUAGUUCUACAACAGCCGCCAACAAGGGAAGCACCAACCUCGCACCAUUUGUUUACAUAUGACACAAAAUCUUCAUCUGAUACACCAGUAUUUUGCACCCACUCCUUUAGAUCAGCAUCAUAGCUCUCCCCACUGUUCGGAUAUAUAAGUAUUGGUUUGGAGCUCACCUUCUUGACAGAUAAUAUACUUCCAUGGAUAAACCUAGGAGGAGUGCAGUUGAUACCCACAGCAGCUACUUUCCCACAUGAUUCAGCAAUUGAGGCACAUUCUAACAAAGAAUCACCACUGACCACAUUGAUACCAUCCUUAGAGUUAAAGGAGAACCAAGCAGGAAUCUUUAUGUUUUCUUCCUCUAAGAGCUCAGCAUAAACCUGAGCUUCUACCUUAUUUGGAAUUGUUUCAAAUGCUAUGAGGUCAGCACCUGAUUCUGCCAAUACCUGAACCCUUCUGCGAUGAAAAUCUUUCAAGGUUUCCAAGGUAACUUCAUCACCAUAAUUCCCACUAAGAAGGUGAAACAACAAUAAAGAAACAAAUAGAUUAACUAAAAACUUUCACUACUAAAAUGAGAUAUUUAACCAGUCUGACAAAACCAAGAUAAUUUGGGUUGUUUGCCUGUGUCAUAAUAUAUAAGCUCAGUAAUAAAAUACAGUGAAGGUAAACAGAAAAUAAAAUAUCCUUGACAUUAUAUGCCAUACACACAUAAGGUUUUUUAGGGAUUCCAAUCAUAACACAUAUUCUUCAAGGCCAAAAUACAAUCAUGUCAUUAUAUACCAUGAAGGGCUCUGAUGAUAAAGAAAACACAAUGCUUGAAUAAAUAUCAACAUCAAUAUAGAUCAUGCAAUGUUUUCAAUAACAGGUCUACUCACCUGUACUCGGAUCCAUCAGCCAAAUAUGCUCCAUAGCUGCCAACAGAAGCUGCAACUAAAAUGGGGCGCUGUUUCAGAACCCUAAUGUCAUUAUUAAUAUCAGAAGCUCCUGCUUUACAUCUCUCAUAAUAAAUAUCCCUUGCCUCACAGGCAAUUUCUACACUUCUUCUAAGCAUGCCUUCACUUUCUUCACUAGAGAAGCCUUUUGCUUCAAAACCCUGAAUGGUGGCCUGAUAAGAUGCUGUGAUAAUAAUAUCAGCACCAGCUUCAAGAUAGUCAAGGUGCACCUGGCCAAUUAUGCAACUCAGCUAACAAUACAAAGUGUAUAAAAAAAAUUCUUAAAAAACCCCAAGUAAUUAAGAAGUGAUUUUUUCGAGAUAAAUUUUUUUAGCUUCAAUAAUGCUAAAUGAUAAUGGCACUCCAAGAAAACCACAAAAAAGUGCCCAAGGCACAAAUCGAUAAAGAAGUCAAGAAACCUCCUUCUUCCGCAACAUAAUAAAAGACAAGACCUGUCCAGCUAACAGUGAAAAGACAAUGGUAAUUAACAUUCCAAAAUAUAAAUGGUUUGUUACAUAAUUAAAUUGAACAAGGUCACUAUGCAACAAACUGAUAAUAUUAAAAUAUAUAAAGUCAAUUGUAUUUGAAUUUGCAGAAUAUCACUUUUAUUAAAUAAAUUCAUCAACAAAGUUGGAGUCCUCUAAAUAUGUUUAAUGGUCCCAGUCUGGCAGAUUUGUGGGGAAAGAGGGACUUGGUAUGAUAAUCCCUAGAUUUAAAGAAAAAUUUUGAAACGAUGUCAAAUUAAUGAUUUGUCUUCAGGGUUUGUAUAUUAGAUUUAGAAUUUAAGGCAUCAAUCCAAAAGCCACCAAAAUAUUCCCUAUGUUUGUGUGUGUGCAUGCGCGCACAUGCAAGUUCAACCACGAAAGAAAAAAAAAGCAUGGAUAAGUUUAUGUAAACAAUACUACUACUAAUUGUCAAGUAUUGCAAAUUUGUUCAAGUUUACCCUUCAACCCUCAAAUUCACAUGAUGUUCCUUUUUAACAUGAGUCAUAAUUGUAUAUACCUUGAAUUAUUGAAUACUCAGAUGAACAUCUUUGCAUACUCUGAUAAAGUUACGUGUAUUAAAUCAUCCAAAAAAAAAAAGCCACUUUUUAAGUGCCAAACCAGAUGCCUUGUAUGCUUACUAGCCAUGGUUUUCAUUACCAAGUCUAAAAGCAAUAACAUCAAGAUUAGGAGUGGAAGGAUACCUUAUAUACCCUCUGAAAACCAAUAAUCAAAUAAUUCAAGUGUUUAAAAAGAAACCACAGUUGCUGAAAUGCAGAUACCACAUCAAAUACCCUAAGCUAAUGCAAAACUCUAAUCAACGCAAGACAAAUUGCAGACUCAAGAAAAGCAAGCUCAAAGACUGAUAAAUCACUUCACUAUUCCAACUUCACAUAAGUUAUAUUAUUAUGUAAGUAUUAUCAUAAGUCUAUGGCAUCGUAAGACAAACAAAUCUUUAAAGUUGAUUCCAGAUGUACAACCCCCAUCCAGUCAAUACAAGAGAAAAGAGAGAGAGAGAGAGAG
rnacentral:misc_RNA from 1 species